GACGAACGCUGGCGGCGUGCCUAAUACAUGCAAGUCGAACGCAUUUUCUUUCACCGUAGCUUGCUACACCGAAAGAAAAUGAGUGGCGAACGGGUGAGUAACACGUGGGUAACCUGCCCAUCAGCGGGGGAUAACACUUGGAAACAGGUGCUAAUACCGCAUAAUUCCAUUUACCGCAUGGUAAAUGGAUGAAAGGCGCUUUUGCGUCACUGAUGGAUGGACCCGCGGUGCAUUAGCUAGUUGGUGGGGUAACGGCCUACCAAGGCUGCGAUGCAUAGCCGACCUGAGAGGGUGAUCGGCCACCCUGGGACUGAGACACGGCCCAGACUCCUACGGGAGGCAGCAGUAGGGAAUCUUCGGCAAUGGACGCAAGUCUGACCGAGCAACGCCGCGUGAGUGAAGAAGGUUUUCGGAUUGUAAAACUCUGUUGUUAGAGAAGAACAAGGAUGAGAGUGGAAAGUUCAUCCCUUGACGGUAUCUAACCAGAAAGCCACGGCUAACUACGUG
rnacentral:rRNA from 1 species